rnacentral:lncRNA from 1 species
AGAAGCCCGCUGGACGUCUAGACCCCAACGCCGCGAUUUCUGUCUCCUGUAGAGUGGCAGGAAAAAAAAAAAAAAACAGACUUCAAACAAAGUAAAGAGGACAGGAGCCAGCCGGGAGUGUGUGAGCCAAUGAGCGGAGUCUGUAAAUAGCGCUGCCAUCCCUGCCAGGGAAGCAGGAGGACAAAGCCUGCCCUGGGACCAGGAACCAAGCCACACUGCUGGCUCUAUGCUGUCCCCAGCAUCACGGUGGAUGAAGUGGAAACAUCAAAACACUAACAUUAGACCUGAUCCUAGAACCGAAGGCUAGGAGGCAAGAGGAGGCAACAUUACUAAGUUUGGAGAGGUACACCUGCAUGCCAGAAGAGGGCAUCAGAACUCAUUAUAGAUGGGAGUGAGACACCAUGUGGUUGCUGGGAAUUGAACUCAGGACCUCUGGAACAGCAAUCGAUGCUCUUGAGAGCUGAGCCCUCCAGAUGAAGAAAAGUACUUAAACACCGUACUUUUGCUUUUUCAAGUCAAUACAUGAAGGCAUAACAUCACUUUUAAAAGGAGAAGAGAUUACAGAACAGAGACAGUGCAACAAAACAGCCAACUGGACUCCUGUCCUUUUGAGACAGGGUCUUUCUGUGUAGCCAGUCACUAAAUGGUGUCACCCAUCCACAAGCAUGAUAAGCCAUUAGCUGCAGUGAAGACCUCACACUUAAGAAAUGUUGAAAACACAGAGCCCUACCAUCGAAAUGCUAUAUUGAAGAUGAUCAAUAAAAUUGGUGGAUGUGAUGUCCUAACUCUUGUGUUCCAUGGAAAUGUGUAUUCAGCAUAGGAAGGAACCAAUAUACCAGCAUGGAAGGAAGGAGGAAGGAAGGAAGGAAGGAAGGAAGGAAGGAAGGAAGGAAGGAAGGAAGGAAGGAAGACAUGAGCAGACGUGAACACUGCUCAAGAUUGACACAUGCUACCAGACACGACUCACCAAGCUUAAAGAUAGAAUUAUCAGCCAGUAGGAAAUGAAGUGAACUGUCUGCAGCUCAAUGGCAUGUUAACCAGGAAGUAGGACAGAGCUCUGAGAGUUUCUCUCUCAUUUUUCCGCCAAGUUUCCAGUGUCACACCCCCGCCCCCCCCAUACUGACUAUCUUGUUUCUAUGUGUUUGGGGUAAAUGAAGGCUUUUCAAAUAUCUGGCUAUUGUAUCAACGCUGUUUUCUGAAUUUAAACUGAUUCUCUGUAUCUACUCUCCUACUGGAGAUCCCUGCAGGCAGCUUGAGGAGUGGUAACCGCAGUUUCUGUACAGCAGAGUCCCAUCUGCUAAUGGAACAGUAGGAAACUCAUUGCAGAUGUAAGGGCAGAACUGGGGACUUCAAGCUGGUUAGGGCUUAAAGUCCCCAGGGCUGACUAAAUUUAAAAACUGGGACUGCUGGGGAAUGCUCUGAAUAGCACAUGUAGAGAAAUGGCUGGGGAGAUGGCUCAGUGGAGAAAGGACUUGUCUGUACAAGCCUAGUGAUCAGCCUUUGCAUCCUCAGCAUCCAUUUAAAUGUUGAGUGGGUGUGGUGGGCCUGCUGUAAUCCUAGGCUCAGGAGGUGGAAAUGGGAUGGGAGCCUGGCUAACUAGACUAGACAAAUUGGCACACUCUGGGCUCAGUUCAUUGAGUGACCUGGCCUUAGUAAAUAAAGUUGAGAAAGACCAAGGAAAA